AUGUAAACCUACUAUUUAACUACUAAAAUGACUUUCCAAGUAAAUAGGCGAAUCAGUGGCCGAAAAUUGAACUUGUGUCAACAAGUCGUAUAGAAAAGAACUAAAUGGUUUUUGUUGCUGCAAAAUUUGUUCAUUUCUUUCUAAUUCUUAUUCGUCUCAUGUUAUAGUGAAGAAAACUCUGGUAGAGAGUAGAGAAGAUCCACCGUAGCAAAGGCAGAAUUUCAUUCAUAACACUGCCAAUUCUAGUGGUGGUGCGGCAACGUAUUAGCAGCGUUACAAUUUGGAAAAUGCAGUAAGUAUAUAUAAAUGUAUUCAUACUUCUUUUUAUAUAUGUAAUUAUGAAAUUCAUACUAAUGUAAGGUAAGGCUAUGUAUAAUAGGUCCUUGUGGCACCUUUCUCUAAAUCUUUCACAUAGUGUGAGUUUUAGUGCAUCGGACUGUCCUUUUGCCUGCUUCAAUCGAACGACACCUCAUCAAAGCCCAUCUAUAUAUGAUUUUAUACGAAAAGUUAUUUAAAGUUAAAGGCGAAUUAUAUAUAUAUAUAUAUAAUUUUAUACAAAAAAUUAUUUAAAGUUAAAGGCGAGUUUCACUUAAAACCAUAGAGCUAUUUUGUUUAUACUCUGUUUGUAACUAUGACAAAUCCCUUUUGUGUAUCCUGCUAAAAUAACGUGUGUAUGAAAAUAUUUUAUGUUAUUUUAUAAACAAAACAGUAUAUGCAAAUUGGACUUCAGUUCACAUUUGUUAUCAUUGUGUCAACAUGUCAGUCAAAUGCUUUUGUUUUUCUAAAAAAUCACUAUACCAUCUGGCCUACUUCAUUUGUUUGCUAGUGGAUACAUUAGCAACAUGCAAUGAACAUAAAUAACUUGAUCCAAAUACAUGCAUGCAUGUAUUUGAUCUAGGGAUUAACUUAUAUAUGCAAUAACAAUGUAUAUAUAUCCAUGGAUCUACGAUUUGAACUUAAUAGAUUUGGAAUUCAUAUACGAUGCUCUUUAUUGUUGUUUAUCAAUAAAAAAAAUAAAUUUCUCAUUCUUCAAAUACAAACAUGAGAUCUCUGGUUAAGAUCGGGAAAGAACAAUUUGAUCAAACAUCUAUUACAAAAUUUUCUCACGUAACAUAUUUAAAAGUAUCAAAUUAAAAAAUAUUUUGAUACUUCAUAAAUAUCUAAUGUAAUAUUACAAAAUUAAUAAAAAAAAAAUUAUUUACUUAAAAUACCACCUUUAUACCUAAAGAAUUAGGAAGCAAUUUCCAUGAAAAGAUGAUUUUUAUAAAGUCCAAAAUAUACACUAUUAUUCAGCUGUCACUUCUUUUAUCAUUUAAUUGUAAUCCAUUGGGUAAAGAAAAGUCUAGACUACUUUUUUCUGACAUUUUGUCCAAUAUAUAAUUAAUAAAGAUGUGACAACUUCCUAUGAAGUUUCAUGGAAGGUGAAGAUUGAUCCAAAACCAAGAAAAAACACAAAACUCCUCUAAUCUUUAUUUUUUAAUUUUCACUUGAUGUUUUGUAUCUUCAUUGUCAAUAAAGCUUUAUAUUGUCAUAUUUUUUUUUAUAAUUUUUGUAAAAACUCUAUUUUCUUUCUCCUUCAUUAACAAACGAACAAAGUGGGAUUAUGCUUUAGCUAUACACUCUCUUUACUCUACAAAUCUUGUUUGAUUAUGAACUUCCUUAGUUAAUAAAUCAAAGUUUUGGCUAUGAAGUUUCAUAAAAGGUGAAGUUUGAAAGAAGAAAACAAGAAAAAAUAUUCAAUUCUCCAUUAGUUUUGGAUUAUCUUGUUUGUCCAGCCAAGACUUUUUCCAGAUAUAAUCCUUUUUAUUAUAAAACUUUUUCAUGUGUUAACUAUUUACCUUUGAAAUAGUUGUUUAAUUUUUGCUUAACAAUAUGUUUAAUAUCACUAUUCACUAAUAGUAACCCUUGAAUUCUUCUUUGUUUACUUUAGGUGACUAAAAUUAAAACAAUUAAGAAAAGUUGAUCUUUUGAUUUUCUUUAGUUAAUAUGGUGAUUAUUAUUUUUAUAAGUUGUAGCUUAUUAUUUAUUCAAAUUAAAAAAAAAAAAGAUUCUUAGACAUACA